GAAGAGCGGGAUAUAAAAUGUAAUAAUAAAUAAUAAUAAUAAUAAAUACAAGCUGACCCCGCACAGAGCAUCUGUUCGCUCUUUGGGGCCGGCUACCUCUCUCUCUCUCCACCCCCCCGUCUCUGGUGGGGCCGAGUGCGGCCAUCGCUGCCAGCGGGCCGAGUGUCGCCGCCAGUGGGCCGAGUGCAGCCGCGACUGCGGCUGCUGCCGCCAGCCGCCGCCUCGCCUCCGCGGCCUAGCCGGGCCCGCCAGCCGCCGCCGCCUCGCCUCAUUUAAGAUUUCUUUACUUCAUGAGGCCUGCAGGGCCAGAUGCAGCAGGGAGUUUCCGGUCGGAGCGUCAGGAACAGGAAGCUUCCUGGCCCGAGAGCUCUUGUGCGGGCAGUGGUGGUGGGUGCGGCCGCAACGGGAAUGAAGCAGAGGAGGCCCACGGAGGGUUGAGGAGGCCCACGGAGGGCUGAGGAGGCGGCAGCGGGCCCUAGCAGCAAAAUAAUGACUGGGAGUGGGGGCGAAGAAGACAGCAGUGGCCCCCUCUUCACUUUUCGUCCUAUUUGCUAUGCCUCUGCCUUCCACUCUCCUGGAAAAUGGCUCUGGCUGAUCAAGCAGCAGGCCAACCAGCCAUGUGCUCAAUUAUAUUAAAAAGAACUAAGUUCA